CUGCACUUUUUCUAGUGCCAUAAUAUCCUUCUUUAGAACAGGUGCCCAAAAUUGCAAAAAAUUAAAAACCCUUUUAAACACUUACCUAAAUUCCUCCUCCCACAAUAUCAAGCAUAAGGAGGACCUAAUGUACAUGCGCGGCAAGCACUGCACACAAUUUCUCAUCCCCCUGCAACUUUUAGGCCUCACACAGUAUAAAAGCAAUACUGUAUCUCUUCAUUUCUAAUCUCCCUGCGAUUUUCAGAUACUGACAGCAGCUGGGAAGUUACU